rnacentral:rRNA from 1 species
AGGACGAACGCUGGCGGCGUGCUUAACACAUGCAAGUCGAACGGUGACCUUCGGAGCUUGCUCUGGAGUGAUCAGUGGCGAACGGGUGAGUAACACGUGAGUAACCUGCCCCAGACUCUGGAAUAACCCCGGGAAACCGGAGCUAAUACCGGAUAUGACACGAACAGGCAUCUGUAUCGUGUGGAAAGUUUUUCGGUCUGGGAUGGACUCGCGGCCUAUCAGCUUGUUGGUGAGGUAAUGGCUCACCAAGGCGACGACGGGUAGCC